rnacentral:lncRNA from 1 species
AUUAUUUUACUAUAUUUUUUAUCCAGUAUUUUGUAAUAUUUUAUAAUUUUUUUUUUCACUUUGACACUACUAUUUAAAUAUAUAUUAUUUAUUCACUAAUUUAUUAAUUUUAUUUAAUUAUAUAAGAAAGAGAUAUACGUGCAAUAUACGUGCAUUGACUAGUAUGAUACUAAAAUGAUAUAUUUUGAACUAUAAUAAGAUACUAAAGUAGAAAAGUGAAAAACAAUAUGGGUGGUGUUUGU